rnacentral:rRNA from 1 species
CAGGGGCUUGACAUCUAACAAAUCUUGAUGAAAGUCGAGAGUGCCUUUCGGGGAAUGUUAAGACAGGUGGUGCACGGUUGUCGUCAGCUCGUGUCGUGAGAUGUUGGGUUAAGUCCCGCAACGAGCGCAACCCUCGUCGUUAGUUGCCUAGUAUGGUAUACUGUGCUAUGGCUCUCUAGCGAGACUGCCGGUGAUAAACCGGAGGAAGGUGGGGACGACGUCAAAUCAUCAUGCCCCUUAUGCUCUGGGCUACACACGUGUUACAAUGGAUGGGACAGCGAGCAGCGAACCUGCGAGGGCAAGCAAAUCUCUAAAAGCCAUCCUCAGUUCGGAUUGCACUCUGCAACUCGAGUGCAUGAAGUCGGAAUCGCUAGUAAACGCAGAUCAGCACGCUGCGUUGAAUACGUUCCC